GCAGGUCUAGAAGUGUCUCGGAUGCUUGAGUCUAACAAAAUCAAGGUUGGAUACUCUGAAGCUGAAGGGGAAUCCUCGACAUUGCUGGAAGCUUUGCGACCUGUUUGCUGUCGUGGGAAUACUGCUUUGGUUUCUCAUGAGCCAAUGCAACAAGUAAAGUCAUACACUGGAAGAGAUCAGCAUCUUCUAGGUCUUCUUCAUCAAGGAAUCCACUAGCCACAGGUGAUGCUGACGACAGAGCAAUUGAUUUUACUGAAGAGUUCUGCAUGAUUGCUGGUAGCCAUUCGUCCACCUUGGAAAGACUGUAUGCAUGGGAAAGAAAACUCCAUG